GAUGAACGCUGGCGGCGUGCCUAAUACAUGCAAGUCGAGCGAACGGACGAGAAGCUUGCUUCUCUGAUGUUAGCGGCGGACGGGUGAGUAACACGUGGAUAACCUACCUAUAAGACUGGGAUAACUUCGGGAAACCGUAGCUAAUACCGGAUAAUAUUUUGAACCGCAUGGUUCAAAAGUGAAAGACGGUCUUGCUGUCACUUAUAGAUGGAUCCGCGCUGCAUUAGCUAGUUGGUAAGGUAACGGCUUACCAAGGCAACGAUGCAUAGCCGACCUGAGAGGGUGAUCGGCCACACUGGAACUGAGACACGGUCCAGACUCCUACGGGAGGCAGCAGUAGGGAAUCUUCCGCAAUGGGCGAAAGCCUGACGGAGCAACGCCGCGUGAGUGAUGAAGGUCUUCGGAUCGUAAAACUCUGUUAUUAGGGAAGAACAUAUGUGUAAGUAACUAUGCACAUCUUGGCGGUACCUAAUCAGAAAGCCACGGCUAACUACGUG
rnacentral:rRNA from 1 species